GGACACGGGACCGAAGCUGAGCCAAUCAAAGUCCUUCCCUUUGAAACAGGACUGGAUAGAGGAAAACUUACUGGCAUCAUCACAAAACGGAAAGACGGUAAGCCUGCACCUGCCAGAGGUCGUGAUCCCAGCGUCCCGGGAACAGUCUAAGGAGGCAUAGAAUUACGUCACGGGUACUCCACAGACCAAGGACGACAACAGGUUAAGGAGAGAGUUGACGAGAAGGAAGAAGGGAAGGAGAGUAACGUUGACAGGUAAAGUGAAGAAACCUGGCAACCCGACUUCAGCCGGCUGGUGGAGGUCGACACCAGCAGUGAUGCGUGGUGGUGAUGGUGUGGACCCUGAUGUGACGUGAUGGGAAGGGUGCGUCACCUCAGUGCCCUUCCUCCCCGAAACCCAGAAUCCCAGCCUAUUUGUGAGAAUAGCGCGAGAUAAGUCCCAAGCGAGGGACGUCCUACAGAAUACAUGAUCAGUGCUCCUCAAACCUGCCAAGGUCAUCAAAAUCAAAGAACGUCUGAGAAACUGUCACAGCCAGGAGGAGCCUAGGGACGCAGGAUGACUAAAUGUCAUGUAGUGUCCUGAGUGGGAUCCCGGACCAGAAAAAGGACAUUAGGGAAAAAACUAAGCAAAUUUGUAUAAAGUACAGACUUCAGUUUAGACCAUUGACAUGAUUGGUGUAGACAAGGUCCAUGACCCACAUGUGGUAAAGCGUAUUUUCUCCAGCUGCACAAUCUUCCAACAACACUCCGAUCCCAGUGGCUCUCAGAUGUUUAGGACCUCAACAAAUUUGUGACCUGGUGCACAUAAACUAAAAUAAAA
rnacentral:lncRNA from 1 species